AGCGAACGCUGGCGGCAGGCCUAAUACAUGCAAGUCGAGCGCACCUUCGGGUGAGCGGCGGACGGGUGAGUAACGCGUGGGAACGUGCCCUUUGGUACGGAACAACUGAGGGAAACUUCAGCUAAUACCGUAUAAGCCCUUCGGGGAAGGAUUUAUCGCCAUUGGAGCGGCCCGCGUUGGAUUAGCUAGUUGGUGGGGUAAAGGCCCACCAAGGCUACGAUCCAUAGCUGGUCUGAGAGGAUGAUCAGCCACACUGGGACUGAGACACGGCCCAGACUCCUACGGGAGGCAGCAGUAGGGAAUCUUGCGCAAUGGGCGAAAGCCUGAUGCAGCCAUGCCGCGU
rnacentral:rRNA from 1 species